rnacentral:lncRNA from 1 species
AUCUGCUAUCUAAACUGACGACCUAAGCACCAAGAGACCUGCCCCAAGAAUCCUUCUUUGAAGUUGUGAAAAAGUCCAGUGACGAGGAACCCACAUCAGUGUUGCAGGUUAAUAGCAAACCAAGCUAAAUAGACCCACUGCUUCACUACCUUAAAGAUGGGAUGCUGCCAACAAAUCUGAAGGAAGCUUGAAAACUAAGAAACUAAGCAUCUCCGCUACAUCCUCUAUGAAGAUAAAUUAUACAAGAAGUUGUUCUCUUUAUCACUUCUUAGGUGCCUAUAUCCCUCCAAAGUUGAUUAUGCUCUAUAAGAGGUACAUGAGGGGAUAUACGAAAAUCACCUGGAGGGCAAGUCACUAGCCUGAAAGAUACUUC